GACGAACGCUGGCGGCGUGCUUAACACAUGCAAGUCGAACGGAAAGGCCCUGCUUUUGUGGGGUGCUCGAGUGGCGAACGGGUGAGUAACACGUGAGUAACCUGCCCUUGACUUUGGGAUAACUUCAGGAAACUGGGGCUAAUACCGGAUAGGAGCUCCUGCUGCAUGGUGGGGGUUGGAAAGUUUCGGCGGUUGGGGAUGGACUCGCGGCUUAUCAGCUUGUUGGUGGGGUAGUGGCUUACCAAGGCUUUGACGGGUAGCCGGCCUGAGAGGGUGACCGGCCACAUUGGGACUGAGAUACGGCCCAGACUCCUACGGGAGGCAGCAGUGGGGAAUAUUGCACAAUGGGCGGAAGCCUGAUGCAGCAACGCCGCGUGCGGGAUGACGGCCUUCGGGUUGUAAACCGCUUUCGCCUGUGACGAAGCGUGAGUGACGGUAGUGGGUAAAGAAGCACCGGCUAACUACGUA
rnacentral:rRNA from 1 species